GGAAAAAACAAGGUAUUGUUCAGAUUUAUGAUUUUUGGGGUCAAAGAUUCUGAGCAAUAACCUAUUAAAAAACC
ensembl:miRNA